rnacentral:rRNA from 1 species
GCAAGGAUGGACUCGCGGCCUAUCAGCUUGUUGGUGAGGUAACGGCUCACCAAGGCGACGACGGGUAGCCGGCCUGAGAGGGUGACCGGCCACACUGGGACUGAGACACGGCCCAGACUCCUACGGGAGGCAGCAGUGGGGAAUAUUGCACAAUGGGCGAAAGCCUGAUGCAGCAACGCCGCGUGAGGGACGACGGCCUUCGGGUUGUAAACCUCUUUUAGCAGGGAAGAAGCGAAAGUGACGGUACCUGCAGAAAAAGCACCGGCUAACUACGUGCCAGCAGCCGCGGUAAUACGUAGGGUGCAAGCGUUGUCCGGAAUUAUUGGGCGUAAAGAGCUCGUAGGCGGUUUGUCGCGUCUGCUGUGAAAUCCCGAGGCUCAACCUCGGGUCUGCAGUGGGUACGGGCAGACUAGAGUGCGGUAGGGGAGAUUGGAAUUCCUGGUGUAGCGGUGGAAUGCGCAGAUAUCAGGAGGAACACCGAUGGCGAAGGCAGAUCUCUGGGCCGCUACUGACGCUGAGGAGCGAAAGGGUGGGGAGCAAACAGGCUUAGAUACCCUGGUAGUCCACCCCGUAAACGUUGGGCGCUAGAUGUGGGGACCAAUUCCAC